rnacentral:tRNA from 1 species
GCAGUAGUGGUUCGGUGGUAUAAUUCUUGCCUUCCAUGCAGGAGACCUAGGUUCAAUUCCCAGCCAGUGCA